UACGUAGGGUGCGAGCGUUAAUCGGAUUUACUGGGCGUAAAGCGUGCGCAGGCGGCCCGUUAAGUCAGGGGUGAAAUCCCUGGGCUCAACCUAGGAAUUGCGGUUGUGACUGGCGGACUGGAGUACGGUAGAGGGGGGUGGAAUUCCUCGUGUAGCAGUGAAAUGCGUAGAGAUCAGGAGGAACACCGAUGGCGAAGGCAGCCCCCUGGGCCUGUACUGACGCUCAGGCACGAAAGCGUGGGGAGCAAACAGG
rnacentral:rRNA from 1 species